GUCUCCUAAAGAAACUGAUGGAGCUUACUGCAGACCACGCUAUGCUGGAGAGAGCAAGACACAUGCACAUACCUGAGCCCAAGAUCAAAGGAUACCAAGAGAAAGAGGACAUUUUGAUAACAACUACGAUAAAGCCAUUGAAACAGUGCAUGCUGGGAAAAGAGGAAACAUGGCUCUUGGGAUUCCCCUUGUAUUCAGACUGGAUGAGCAGCCGGUUGUCUUUAGCAUAACAAUAACGGGAGACCUUCUACUGUCAAGCAUGUGUAAAGAUAAAACUGCACAGAUGGGCCUUCAUGACAAUUGUUUUGUCUCUUCUUAAAAGGAUUCUUCCCACCUUCCAUCCAAAGAAAAGGAUACAGGCUCUAUGCUUGACAAGAUGUCGUUGUCACAUCUUCCUGUUUGUAAGGCAGGUUCAUAAUUACAUGUUGUGAAGGUAUUUAAAAACUAUAAUUCUGAUUAAUGGUUCUAGUGUUUAGAGAAUUGAUGUGCACAGAUUAAAAAAUUCUUUGGAUGAAUCAUUUGUCCUGAAAAAUAAAUAGAUGUAUUGUUCCAUGUGA